AACAAACGCUGGCGGCGUGCCUAACACAUGCAAGUCGAACGAGAAACCUUGGGCAACUGAGGGAGUAAAGUGGCGCACGGGUGAGUAACGCGUGGGUAACCUGCCCUUGAAUUGGGGAUAACUUCCCGAAAGGGGAGUUAAUACCGAAUAACAUCCCGACUUCUCCGGGAGUUGGAAUCAAAGGUGGCCUCUGCAUGCAAGCUACUGUUUAAAGGAUGGGCCCGCGUACCAUUAGCUUGUUGGUAGGGUAACGGCCUACCAAGGCAACGAUGGUUAGCUGGUCUGAGAGGAUGGCCAGCCACACUGGAACUGAGACACGGUCCAGACUCCUACGGGAGGCUG
rnacentral:rRNA from 1 species